rnacentral:rRNA from 1 species
GAUGAACGCUGGCGGCGUGCCUAAUACAUGCAAGUCGAGCGAACAGACGAGGAGCUUGCUCCUCUGACGUUAGCGGCGGACGGGUGAGUAACACGUGGAUAACCUACCUAUAAGACUGGGAUAACUUCGGGAAACCGGAGCUAAUACCGGAUAAUAUAUUGAACCGCAUGGUUCAAUAGUGAAAGACGGUUUUGCUGUCACUUAUAGAUGGAUCCGCGCCGCAUUAGCUAGUUGGUAAGGUAACGGCUUACCAAGGCAACGAUGCGUAGCCGACCUGAGAGGGUGAUCGGCCACACUGGAACUGAGACACGGUCCAGACUCCUACGGGAGGCAGCAGUCGGGAAUCUUCCGCAAUGGGCGAAAGCCUGACGGAGCAACGCCGCGUGAGUGAUGAAGGUCUUCGGAUCGUAAAACUCUGUUAUUAGGGAAGAACAAAUGUGUAAGUAACUAUGCACGUCUUGACGGUACCUAGUCAGAAAGCCACGGCUAACUACGUG